AUGUUUCUUUUUCUGCUCGACACCCUCAUGUUUUUCUCGAUAAUAAUCUAUUUAUCUUUCCCUUGACUAUGUCGCUUGUAUAUCCAUUGUCCACUAAAUGUGUUAUGGUAUUUUCUAGGGCUAUGCUCUAAUUGAAUUUGAGAAGUUUGAGGAGGCACAGAGAGCCAUAAAUGAGAUGAAUGGAACUGAACUCCUAACCCAGACCAUGAAUGUUGACUGGGCGUUCAGCAAAGGUCCAUUCAGAAGAAGGAACAUUAGGAGGAGAUCACCUCGGGGUCAUCAUUCCAGGAGUCCAAGGAGGAGAUUCUGAUCAUGGUGGCAUGUGAGAGUUUUUGGCACUUUGAUUUAGAGUGAAGAUACAAAUGUGAAUCUUUGUUAACUUUUAACAAUGUGUACGAUUGUUGUUUCUGUUGUCAGUUUUCGUUCAUUGACUUCAUUUCAGCUGUAUUAACGUAUUUAUGAGGCUUCUUUGGAUUGCUCUUCCUGGCUUGCUAUUUAUAUAGGUUGGUACUUUAGUUGAAGGAUGUUCCAAUGUUGUGUUCUUAUUGAUUCCGAUCAGUGUAUUCAUUGCCUUUUUGAUUGGUA